rfam:Triticum aestivum genome assembly, contig: Triticum_aestivum_CS42_TGACv1_scaffold_320344_4BL
GUUGUACUUCCUCCGUUCGGAAUUACUUGUCGUAGAAAUGGAUGUAUCUACACAUAUUUUAAUUCUAGAUACAUCCAUUUUCAAGACAAGUAAUUCCGAACGGAGGGAGUACUUG